UUCUCAGCUCAGUUGGUAGAGCAUGAGACUCUAAAUCUCAGUAUCAUGGGUUUGAGCCCCACACUGGGCAAAA